CUUGUCAACCUCUUACUACAGCGUGGAUACACUGUCAAAAUAGUCACUGUUCGAGACCUCAAUGAUUCAAAGAAAAUGCAAUACACUUGGUUUCAUUAUAUGGAGCUAAGGAGAGACUUCACUUGUUCAAAGCAAAAGCAAAUUUAUUGGAAGAAGAGUCCUUUAAUUCUGUUGUUGAUGGAUAUGUGAGUGUUUUUCCCAGUAGUAGUUUCAGUGACUAAUCUACAGAUGUGCACAUGAGAAACCUCUGGUACCAACGCACCAAGUAUCAAAAGGAGAGGGUUUUGUCAACUUUUAGG